UACGGAGGGUGCGAGCGUUAAUCGGAAUUACUGGGCGUAAAGGGUGCGUAGGUGGUUUAAUAAGUUAAGUGUGAAAGACCCGGGCUUAACCUGGGAUAGUCAUUUAAGACUGUUAGACUAGAGUAUGGGGGAGGGUAGUGGAAUUUCCGGUGUAGCGGUGAAAUGCGUAGAGAUCGGAAGGAACACCAGUGGCGAAGGCAGCUACCUGGCCUAAUACUGACACUGAGGCACGAAAGCAUGGGGAGCAAACAGG
rnacentral:rRNA from 1 species